UACGAAGGGGGCUAGCGUUGCUCGGAAUCACUGGGCGUAAAGGGUGCGUAGGCGGGUCUUUAAGUCAGGGGUGAAAUCCUGGAGCUCAACUCCAGAACUGCCUUUGAUACUGAAGAUCUUGAGUUCGGAGAGGUGAGUGGAACUGCGAGUGUAGAGGUGAAAUUCGUAGAUAUUCGCAAGAACACCAGUGGCGAAGGCGGCUCACUGGCCCGAUACUGACGCUGAGGCACGAAAGCGUGGGGAGCAACAGG
rnacentral:rRNA from 1 species